GAUGAACGCUGGCGGCGUGCUUAACACAUGCAAGUCGAGCGAUGAAGUUUCCUUCGGGAAACGGAUUAGCGGCGGACGGGUGAGUAACACGUGGGUAACCUGCCUCAUAGAGUGGAAUAGCCUUCCGAAAGGAAGAUUAAUACCGCAUAAUGUUGAAAGAUGGCAUCAUCAUUUAACCAAAGGAGCAAUCCGCUAUGAGAUGGACCCGCGGCGCAUUAGCUAGUUGGUGGGGUAACGGCCUACCAAGGCGACGAUGCGUAGCYGACCUGAGAGGGUGAUCGGCCACAUUGGGACUGAGACACGGCCCAGACUCCUACGGGAGGCAGCAGUGGGGAAUAUUGCACAAUGGGGGAAACCCUGAUGCAGCAACGCCGCGUGAGUGAUGAAGGUUUUCGGAUCGUAAAGCUCUGUCUUUGGGGAAGAUAAUGACGUACCCA
rnacentral:rRNA from 1 species